AUGGGCGCGCAUAGGAGCGGGCAUGUGCCACGGGGUCAAUCCGAGGAGCUCAGUGGCUACCCCUGCAAUGGCCAUGGCAGACGGCGGUUCUUGGCCACGGCGAAAUACCUAACGAGAGCAAACGAGAGGGGAAACUGGGGAAGGCAAGAGGAGUUCACGGCAAGUGAAGGUGGCAUGGAAGGAGAAGAAUACAACAGUGGCAGGUCUAGGGAUAUCAAUAUGUAUCAUGCAUUCCCAAAUUUCUAUGGUAUAGCGUUCAGUGGAAACUUCAAUCUUCAGAAUCUUCUCAUCUUGACAGCCAUCAAGGCGGACUCAUCGAGGGUCAUGGACUAUGUUAACCGACUAGACAACUUUCAUGGUCCUGCCAUUGGAGAACUAGCUGUUGAAGCACAACUAUAUGAGGAGGCUUUUGCCUUAUUCAAGAAGUUCAACUUAAAUGUGCAUGAUGUCGAUGUUCUGCUGGAUAACAUAUGA
rnacentral:rRNA from 1 species